rnacentral:rRNA from 1 species
UACGUAGGGUGCGAGCGUUAUUCGGAAUUACUGGGCGUAAAGCGUGCGCAGGCGGUUAUAUAAGUCAGUUGUGAAAUCCCCGGGCUCAACCUGGGAAUUGCAUCUGUGACUGUAUAGCUAGAGUACGGUAGAGGGGGAUGGAAUUCCGCGUGUAGCAGUGAAAUGCGUAGAUAUGCGGAGGAACACCGAUGGCGAAGGCAAUCCCCUGGACCUGUACUGACGCUCAUGCACGAAAGCGUGGGGAGCAAACAGG